rnacentral:rRNA from 1 species
CCUACGGGUGGCAGCAGUCGAGAAUCAUUCACAAUGGGGGAAACCCUGAUGGUGCGACGCCGCGUGGGGGAAUGAAGGUCUUCGGAUUGUAAACCCCUUUCAUGGGGGAGCAAAUUAAAGAGAUAGUACCACAAGAGGAAGACACGGCUAACUCUGUGCCAGCAGCCGCGGUAAUACAGAGGUCUCAAGCUUUGUUCGGCAUCACUGGGCGUAAAGGGUGCGUAGGCGGUUUCGUAAGUCGUGUGUGAAAAGCGCGGGCUCAACCCGCGGACGGCACAUGAUACUGCGAGACUAGAGUAAUGGAGGGGGAACCGGAAUUCUCGGUGUAGCAGUGAAAUGCGUAGAUAUCGAGAGGAACACCAGUGGCGAAGGCGGGUUACUGGACAGUAACUGACGCUGAGGCACGAAGGCGAGGGGAGCGAAAGGGAUUAGAUACCCCGGUAGUC